AGAGUUUGAUCAUGGCUCAGAACGUACGCUGGCGGCACGCCUAACACAUGCAAGUCGAACGAAGUAGCAAUACUUAGUGGCAGACGGGUGAGUAACAUGUAGGUAUCUACCCUUUGGCCUGGAAUAACACGAGGAAACUUGUGCUAAUACCGGAUAAGUCUUUACGGAGAAAGCUUUAUGCACCAUUGGAUGAGCCUGCACUUGAUUAGUUUGUUGGUGGGGUAAUGGCCUACCAAGACUGUGAUCAAUAGCUGAUUUGAGAGGAUGAUCAGCCACAUUGGGACUGAGACACGGCCCAAACUCCUACGGGAGGCAGCAGUGGGGAAUCUUGCACAAUGGAGGAAACUCUGAUGCAGCGAUGCCGCGUGAGUGAAGAAGGCCCUUGGGUUGUAAAGCUCUUUCGUCGGGGAAGAAAAUGACUGUACCCGAAUAAGAAGGUCCGGCUAACUUCGUGCCAGCAGCCGCGGUAAUACGAAGGGACCUAGCGUAGUUCGGAAUUACUGGGCUUAAAGAGUUCGUAGGUGGUUGAAAAAGUUAGUGGUGAAAUCCCAGAGCUUAACUCUGGAACUGCCAUUAAAACUUUUCAGCUAGAGUAUGAUAGAGGAAAGCAGAAUUUCUAGUGUAGAGGUGAAAUUCGUAGAUAUUAGAAAGAAUACCAAUUGCGAAGGCAGCUUUCUGGAUCAUUACUGACACUGAGGAACSAAAGCAUGGGUAGCGAAGAGGAUUAGAUACCCUCGUAGUCCAUGCCGUAAACGAUGUGUGUUAGACGUUGGAAAUUUAUUUUCAGUGUCGCAGGGAAACCGAUAAACACACCGCCUGGGGAGUACGACCGCAAGGUUAAAACUCAAAUGAAUUGACGGGGACCCGCACAAGUAGUGGAGCAUGUGGUUUAAUUCGAAGAUACGCGCAGAACCUUACCAACACUUGACAUGUUCGUCGCGACUCUAAGAGAUUAGAGUUUUCGGUUCGGCCGGACGAAACACAGGUGCUGCAUGGCUGUCGUCAGCUCGUGUCGUGAGAUGUUGGGUUAAGUCCCGCAACGAGCGCAACCCUCACUUUUAGUUGCCAUCAUUAAGUUGGGCACUCUGAAAGAACUGCCAGUGAUAAGCUGGAGGAAGGUGGGGAUGACGUCAAGUCCUCAUGGCCCUUACGUGUUGGGCUACACACGUGCUACAAUGGUAUCUACAACAGGAAGCAAGACUGCGAAGUUAAGCAAAUCCCUAAAAGAUACCUCAGUUCGGAUUGCACUCUGCAACUCGAGUGCAUGAAGCUGGAAUUACUAGUAAUCGUGGAUCAGCGUGCCACGGUGAAUGCGUUCCCGGGUCUUGUACACACCGCCCGUCACACCAUGGGAGUUGGUUCUACCUUAAGGCAAGGUUUCAAACCCUUGACCACGGUAUAGUCAGCGACUGGGGUGAAGUCGUAACAAGGUAA
rnacentral:rRNA from 1 species